UCUCUCAUCCUCUCUCAUCUCUCUGUCUUGCUGAAACGAAUACGAGCCACGCAACCCCGGCACUUGCAGGGAGUGCUAUGAGGAACCCAGCAAGACCGAGGAAGAGCUCAAAUGCGAGAUCGAAUAUCUCAAGUCCAAAGUCUUCUUUUCUCAAAUUCUAGACUCCCUUCGAUCAUUACCACCAUCGCUUUACUCCUUGUUUCUAUGACAUCAUUUUAGUCACUUCCAAUGACGAUUCCAGUAAACCUGUGUCUAACCCUGUUCACAUCUUUGCCCAUAAGGCCAUUCUAUGUAAGUGUAGGUGUGGCCUCACUUGGAUUGAAGAAGUUCGAGACCCUGUCUUACCUUCCUUCACUCUCUCUUGUACAAUUGGGAAAAGAAGUUGAUUACCUUAUUUGCCUAGCAUGGAUUCCUUGCUUAGAAUUCUCUGUUGAGUUACGACGCUAAACCUAUAGGGGCGGAUUUGGAUCAUGACACAUAUGUUCAAAAGAGUUGAAAUUUAUUGGCUAUCUAUGGAAAUUUGCAUGUGAGAUGUUUCAAUUGAGCAAGUGGAAAGUAUAACUGAAGCAGCUUAUUUUUAAACGUUUUAAUUGAAGUUUCUUCCCAAUAUUUAAGAAAUAAGGCGAAUACGAGUCACCUUUGCACCUCCCAUUUGAAAGUCAAGCUUUAUUAUAUGUGUUUGUGUGUAAAUAUAUCAAACCCCCUGUUGAUAUAAUGAAAGCAACAGUAUUAAUUAGGCUGCUUGAUUAAAUUCUUACAUGCUACACUAUUACUACAUUGAAGCACGUAGCUGUUUUAACCUUGAUUGUUAUAAUUUGAAAUGUCAAUUUUAUUGAAUAAGUGUUAGUGGUUAUUUUUUAUUUUUAUUUUUACAGAUUGCUUUCGCAUGGGUUAUUGUGGAUAUUUAUUUUUGUGUACGAAGAGCAUUUGUUCUAUAUAUAGAAGACAUUUAUUUAUGUACAAUCCUCUGUUUUGGAAAUCUAGUGUUUUUGUAUGUAAUAUUUAAUUUAGAUGGAUUAUAUUUGGUUGGUAUGGAUUUGUUUUUGGAUAGUUGAUAAUGAAAUGGGUAUGAUUGA